UACGUAGGUGGCAAGCGUUGUCCGGAAUUAUUGGGCGUAAAGCGCGCGCAGGUGGUUCCUUAAGUCUGAUGUGAAAGCCCCCGGCUCAACCGGGGAGGGUCAUUGGAAACUGGGGAACUUGAGUGCAGAAGAGGAUAGUGGAAUUCCACGUGUAGCGGUGAAAUGCGUAGAGAUGUGGAGGAACACCAGUGGCGAAGGCGACUUUCUGGUCUGCAACUGACACUGAGGCGCGAAAGCGUGGGGAGCGAACAGG
rnacentral:rRNA from 1 species